rnacentral:rRNA from 1 species
AGGACGAACGCUGGCGGCGCGCUUAACACAUGCAAGUCGAGCGAGAACCGGUCCUUCGGGACUGGGAAAGCGGCGAACGGGUGAGUAACACGUGGGUAAUCAACCCUUGGUACCGGGAUAGCCCGAGGAAACUCGGAUUAAUACCGGAUGGCCCAACAGCUCUUCGGGGCGGUUGGAAAAGGUAGCUUCGGCCUCCGACCAAGGACGAGCCCGCGGCGGAUUAGCUUGUUGGUGAGGUAACGGCUCACCAAGGCGACGACGGGUAGCCGGCCUGAGAGGGUGACCGGCCACACUGGGACUGAGACACGGCCCAGACUCCUACGGGAGGCAGCAGUGGGGAAUAUUGCACAAUGGGCGAAAGCCUGAUGCAGCAACGCCGCGUGAGGGACGACGGCCUUCGGGUUGUAAACCUCUUUAGUAGGGAAGAAGCGAAGUGACGUACCUGCAGAAAAGCACCGGCUAACUACGUGCCAGCAGCCGC